rnacentral:rRNA from 1 species
GACGAGUGGCCCAAGCGUUAGUCGGAAUCACUGGGCUUAAAGGGUGCGUAGGCGGAUGGGUAAGUGCUUUGUGAAAGCCCCGGGCUCAACCCGGGAACCGCAGGGCAUACUGCUUAUCUUGAGGAAGGUAGAGGCCGGCGGAACGAUAGGUGGAGCGGUGGAAUGCAUAGAGAUCUAUCGGAACGCCAAGGGUGAAGACAGCCGGCUGGGCCUUUCCUGACGCUGAGGCACGAAAGAGUGGGGAGCAAACAGG